CAAAAGGCUCUUUCAAGGGCCACCUAAUACAUAGAAAAAAAGUGUGU
rfam:Salmo salar isolate Sally breed double haploid chromosome ssa14, whole genome shotgun sequence.